rnacentral:RNase_P_RNA from 1 species
UUUUGACAAACGCUGCAUUUUUCGUAAUGUAGAGGAAAGUCCAUGCUCGCAAAGUCUGUGAUGACUUUAGUGUUCGUGCCUAGGGAAAAAAUAACCUAGGGUGAUGAUUCAACGGCUCUGAAAUAACCUAAGUCUUUUUAGAUAUGGUUAGAUUAAGUAUAAAAGUGCCAUAGUGACGAAGAAACUAGAAAUGGUGGAAAUGGAACGUGGUAAACCCCACGAGCGAGAAACCCAAAUUUUGGUAGGGGAACCCAUAGAACAGAAAAAGAAUGUUUGAGGGACCAAGGUAACUUGGUAGAUAAAUGUUUGUCGCCUGCUUGCCAGGAACAGAACAUGGCUUAUAA